GCGGGGAGAAGCGGACAUUUUCUCCUUCUCAGCAAUCCGCUCUGUCUUUAUUGUCCUUUGCCGGCUCUCUGCGUCCGCCCACUUCUCGCCCGUCGGGGUCCGGUAGGGCGGAGAGUAAGACCGGCUGUCUGCAAGGAAAGGAGGGCUUGGAUGAAAGAAUGUGGAAGGAGUUAUACUCACUUGCAGGAUGAGGAAGUGCAGCCAGCUCCAAACAAUCAUCAUGAUGUCCCAGACUCAAAGAAGGAGCAGAGGAGCCAUCACCCCAUGGUCAGCUCCUGAGUGCCGAACAGAAAUGCUAGACACUCAGUGUGGGUUUGCAGUGAGGACAGCUGACAGACCCAGGGCUUCAGACAGGACCACAUCUUCCAAGGAUGAUCUGUUUCCAAUCUUGGCAUUUUUCAAAUGCCAGCAAGUACAGCACCUUGAAAAGCACAGUCGUACAGUACAGCAGCUGGCGUACAGGGGCUGGCAUCGAGUGAACAGGCAAGAAGAGUUACUGACCGGAAGAUGGAGAGGAGGUGGGAGAUGGUGGAGCUGAAGGACCGUCAGCAAUAGGAGAUGGAGGGCCAGCUGCGAUUUCACCCACGCCUGACGGUGACGGCACAGGUUCUGGUCCCUUGCUGGACCCAAUUCUAUCUUCCCUCUUGAAAACACGAUCCAGCGAUGUCUGGGUAGUUGCUCUUUUGUUCUCAUCAUAGACGACACAGUAGCACUGACUGCAUUCUGCACGGUCGCUGCCAGCUUCAUGGACUGUUCUAUGUUCAGGUCCUGUGCCUCAAAAACCAACAGUGCCUCCUCAAAUAAA